rnacentral:tRNA from 3 species
GUCUCAGUAGCUCAAUUGGAUAGAGCAUCCCCCUCCUAAGGGGAAGGUUGCAGGUUCAAAUCCUGCCUGGGACACCA